CCCCUCUCGGGGUCGCACCUGGAGAGUUCCCUGUACUCUACCAGCCUCGACUACAGGAGGAAGAGUCAGGCAGAGGCAUAUCCAUUCCAUUCCUAGCUUGGGCAGUAGCUAGCAAGUGGAAAACAAUUUGCUACAAGU